UUAAAGGUAGCUCAACUGGUAGAGCAGCGGUUAUGCCGCUUGUUGUGGGUUCAAGUCCCACCCUAAA
rnacentral:tRNA from 1 species